rnacentral:rRNA from 1 species
GCUUGUCUCAAAGAUUAAGCCAUGCAUGUCUAAGUAUAAGCUGCUUAUACUGUGAAACUGCGAAUGGCUCAUUAAAUCAGUUAUAGUUUAUUUGAUGGUACCUUACUACUCGGAUAACCGUAGUAAACCUAGAGCUAAUACGUGCGUAAAUCCCGACUUCCGGAAGGGACGUAUUUAUUAGAUAAAAGACCGACCGGCUUCGGCCGACCCUCGGUGAAUCAUGAUAACUGAGCGAAUCGUAUGGCCUCGCGCCGACGAUGGUUCAUUCAAGUUUCUGCCCUAUCAGCUUUCGAUGGUAGGGUAUUGGCCUACCAUGGCAUUGACGGGUAACGGAGAAUUAGGGUUCGAUUCCGGAGAGGGAGCCUGAGAAACGGCUACCACAUCCAAGGAAGGCAGCAGG